rnacentral:rRNA from 1 species
GGUGAGUAACACGUGGGUAACCUUCCUGUAAGACUGGGAUAACUCCGGGAAACCGGGGCUAAUACCGGAUGGUUGUUUGAACCGCAUGGUUCAAACAUAAAAGGUGGCUUCGGCUACCACUUACAGAUGGACCCGCGGCGCAUUAGCUAGUUGGUGAGGUAAUGGCUCACCAAGGCAACGAUGCGUAGCCGACCUGAGAGGGUGAUCGGCCACACUGGGACUGAGACACGGCCCAGACUCCUACGGGAGGCAGCAGUAGGGAAUCUUCCGCAAUGGACGAAAGUCUGACGGAGCAACGCCGCGUGAGUGAUGAAGGUUUUCGGAUCGUAAAGCUCUGUUGUCAGGGAAGAACAAGUACCGUUCGAAUAGGGCGGUACCUUGACGGUACCUAACCAGAAAGCCACGGCUAACUACGUGCCAGCAGCCGCGGUAAUACGUAGGUGGCAAGCGUUGUCCGGAAUUAUUUGGCGUAAAGGGCUCGCAGGCGGUUUCUUAGGUCUGAUGUGAAAGCCCCCGGCUCAACCGGGGAGGGUCAUUGGAAACUGGGGAACUUGAGUGCANAANANGAGAGUGGAAUUCCACGUGUAGCGGUGAAAUGCGUANAGAUGUGGAGGAACACCAGUGGCGAAGGCGACUCUCUGGUCUGUAACUGACGCUGAGGAGCGAAAGCGUGNGGAGCGAACAGGAUUANGUACCCUGGUAGUCCACGCC